AGAGAGAGGAGAUUUUAACUCCUACCCUUAACUCCCAAAGCUAAGAUUCUAAGUUAAACUACCCUCUG
rnacentral:tRNA from 2 species